AUCUUCCAGUUUUAAGAGAAAUGAAUAUUGUAGCUACUUUGACUUGAGAAGAGAAUACAACAACUACUAAGCCUCAGUCCCUAACAAAUUGGGGUCGGCUAUAUGGAUCCUCAUUGGUCAUGUUUCUCCAUUUAGAUUCAUCUAAGGUACAAAAUAAAAUAAGAAGUACUUGACGUUCUGUAUAUUUCUGUUGGCAUAAGAAUUUCUAAUAGGACCUAAAGACUCCUAGAAGGCAUAAGAUCUAAAGUAAAUGUACUAACAUGUUUAAAACAUAUUUCUAACUAACUAGUAUCGUCUAUAUAAAUAUUCUAAAGCUAAAGCUGCAUGGAUUCAAGGAAAGCAUAUGUCUUUAUAGACAACUUCCUUUUAUGUGAUUUUAGGUGUACCUCGUCCGUUUUAACAUGUUCACUCACCAUAGUUUCGCACUUAUAGGCCGGUGCAUCUGGAGGUCGAUGCAAGACAUGACCAAAUCAUCUUAAUAGACUUCUCAUUUUAUCCUCCGUGUGUGCUACUUGCACCUUCUGGAAAAUGUUAAUUCUUAGUCUUUUUACUCUUGUAUGACCGUACAUUUAUCUUAGCCUCCGCAUCGUUGCAACACUCAUUUUAUGGAUGUGUUUAACUUUAGCGGCCCAAAAUUUAUUCCCAUGUAACAUUGUUGGUCUUAUAACUAUCCUAUAUAACUUAUUUUUCAAUUUUCACUAUGGUAAGUGUCACGGGGGCGUUUUUGAUCAGUUCAAAGUCACACCCGCGGCAAUGAAGUCAUGCACUUGACUCAUCCUUUCCUAAACUCUUAGCCAAAUUUCAGCAAGUUUGGCCUAAACAAAAUUUCGGCAACAAUUCAAUAAGAACACAAGCAUAUACGAGAAAAUCCCGACCUUCG
rnacentral:lncRNA from 1 species